UCCCAGCUAUAUAACUUCACCGACUUUCUUAGGUUGCGUCGAAAAGGAGACUACACUUAAAAAGUAGUUGUGUUAGAUGUCUGCGUUAUACAGCGCCCGAUAUGUUCUGAUAGGCACGAUAACUCUGCAGGGAAUGUUUAUAUGCUUUGGCAAACCAACCGCUUUUCCCACCAAUUUUAAUGGAAGCGAGACCACAGCGCCUCCAUAUAAAUGCGGGCAAGUGUGCACGCGGGAAAAAAAAUGUCCUGAUGGCUGUUUCUGUGGGUUUGUAGGAACCAAAAGUUCUGGCAUCUGCCUCUCCUACGACGAUCCUUAUUGAUACCACGGUAAUAUUACACCAGCGAGAGUGACAGCGCAGUGCGUUACGGGAAAAUAAAUGCUUUGCCUGUCUGUUUGAUUUCUGUA